rnacentral:rRNA from 1 species
CCUACGGGAGGCAGCAGUAAGGAAUAUUGGUCAAUGGAGGCAACUCUGAACCAGCCAUGCCGCGUGCAGGAAGAAGGCCCUAUGGGUCGUAAACUGCUUUUGUACCAGAGAAAACCCGAGUACGUGUACUCGGUUGAUAGUAUGGUAAGAAUAAGCAUCGGCUAACUUCGUGCCAGCAGCCGCGGUAAGACGAAGGAUGCAAGCGUUAUCCGGAUUCAUUGGGUUUAAAGGGUGCGUAGGCGGACUGAUAAGUCAGUGGUGAAAUCUCUCAGCUUAACUGAGAAACUGCCAUUGAUACUGUUAGUCUAGAGUAUAGAUGACGUUGGCGGAAUAUGACAUGUAGUGGUGAAAUACUUAGAUAUGUCAUAGAACACCGAUUGCGAAGGCAGCUAACGAAACUAUAACUGACGCUGAGGCACGAAAGUGCGGGGAUCAAACAGGAUUAGAUACCCUGGUAGUCCGCACCGUAAACGAUGAUUACUCGUUGUUGGCAAUAUGACCGUCGAGCGACCGACGACGAAGACGAGUAAGUAAGUACCGUACCGUUACGGGGUUAGGUACGGUUCCGGGCCGGAACCGGUUACGGAACCGUUACCGAACGGAAGUUAGGUUACGGACGUUGGAGGACGUUACGCCGACGGACGACGACGAGGGAGGAGG